UAGCCUACGGGAGGCAGCAGUUAGGAAUAUUCGUCAAUGGGGGAAACCCUGAACGAGCAAUGCCGCGUGAACGAUGACGGUCCUCUGGAUUGUAAAGUUCUGUUGUUUGGGAGGAACGGCUCUAAUAGGAAAUGAUUAGAGAUUGACUGUACCAUUCAAGAAAGCCACGGCUAACUACGUGCCAGCAGCCGCGGUAAUACGUAGGGGGCAAGCGUUAUCCGGAAUUACUGGGUGUAAAGGGAGCGUAGACGGUGAUGCAAGUCUGGAGUGAAAGGCGGGGGGCCA
rnacentral:rRNA from 1 species